AGAGUUUGAUCCUGGCUUAGGAUGAACGCUGGCGGCGUGCCUAACACAUGCAAGUCGAACGGAGUUACGAAAGCUUGCUUUGUAACUUAGUGGCGGACGGGUGAGUAAUGCGUGAGCAACCUGCCUUUCAGAGGGGGACAACAGUUGGAAACGACUGCUAAUACCGCAUAACGUAUCCGGGCGGCAUCGCUUGGAUACCAAAGGAGCAAUCCGCUGAAAGAUGGGCUCACGUCUGAUUAGUUAGUUGGUGGGGUAACGGCCUACCAAGGCUGCGAUCAGUAGCCGGACUGAGAGGUUGAACGGCCACAUUGGGACUGAGAUACGGCCCAGACUCCUACGGGAGGCAGCAGUGGGGAAUAUUGGGCAAUGGGCGAAAGCCCUGACCCAGCAACGCCGCGUGAAGGAAGAAGGUCUUCGGAUUGUAAACUUCUUUUAUGAGGGACGAAAGACGUGACGGUACCUCAUGAAUAAGCCACGGCUAACUACGUGCCAGCCGCCGC
rnacentral:rRNA from 1 species